UACGUAGGGUGCGAGCGUUAAUCGGAAUUACUGGGCGUAAAGCGUGCGCAGGCGGUUAUGUAAGACAGAUGUGAAAUGCCCGGGCUUAACCUGGGAACUGCAUUUGUGACUGCAUGGCUAGAGUUUGGCAGAGGGGGGGUAGAAUUCCACGUGUAGCAGUGAAAUGCGUAGAUAUGUGGAGGAACACCGAUGGCGAAGGCAGCCCCCUGGGUCAAGACUGACGCUCAUGCACGAAAGCGUGGGGAGCAAACAGG
rnacentral:rRNA from 1 species